CACACAUUCCAUCUCUCAUUCCUCUUACCCUCUUUCGUGGGCGAUGCUAACCCUAGCGCCACCGGCGGCCGCCGCCACAUCGCCUGCCACCAGCUCCGACCAUGAAUUCCAGUUUCUCCCACCAUCAGCGCUCCUUCCCCAGGAGGUCUCAUCCUUGGCUCUCGGAUUAAUCUCCGCUCCCACUCCGGCCGGGUCCCUCGUGACUCGUGAGACGGCUCCGAGGCUGCAUCCACCGCCGUGCAUGCCGCCCGCUGGAGGUUCCUCGGGCUCGGGAACGUGGAGGAGCACAUGGUUGAGUACAACGGCAAGGGCGGGGUGGAAGGAGACUCCCUGCGCAUGGAAUGACCCUACUGGUUCAUCUGCAACAUAACUCCGGCCGCCAGAGCCUCAAGUUUGGUCUUCUCUUCUAAAUCGAUCCGUUUAGAUCCCAAGUUCCCAACUAAUCAAGAGAUAUGAGGACAUGCAGGAUGAAGGAUGAAGGAGCCGCAGUUGUCAGUGCUGCGGUGGGCGAGCAAAGAUGCAACUGGACAUUAGUCAGGGACUGCAACAUAUGGUCAUGACGAUGUUCUCCGAACUCUGAUCUCUCUUCCGUGUUUUCAGACAACAAUGACCAGUAGUAGUCCUUUGCACAAUUUUACUUCUCUGUGUGCAGUUUAAAGCUAGGGGAAAAAUGGGGGCAUGAAUACCCACAUUGCUCUCAUAUCAUCUCCAUGGAUGGAAAAGAGUACAUAUUGCAAUCAUUGUUCACCCUCUCCCUUUGUCGCGUGCGUUGUCUGAAUCAACUUAAACUUAGCUGACAAAAAGGCUUCAUGUCUCGAUUUUCA